rnacentral:lncRNA from 1 species
GGGGAGGGACAGAGGGAGAAGCAGAAUCCCUGCUAAACAGGGCGCCCAAUGUGGGACUCCAUUCUGGGACCCUCAGAUCGUGACCUGAGCCAAAGGCAGAUGCUUAAUCAGCUGAGCACCCAGGCACCCUGUGGCUUUAGGUUUUUAAAGAAGGCUUUAAAUUAUCAUUGUUUAAAAGUGGAGGAGUUUACCAAGGAUUUAGCAGCCUUGAAAUAAAACUUUCCUCUAGAGGAAAAAAAAGACUGGUGUUAAAAUUCUCAUCACAAUAUUGGAAUCUAGAAAAGAGUGAAGAAUAUUUACGGUCAUGAGAAGAAAGUACAGAGCUGGAAUCCACCCUCAGCCAAUAUAUCGUUUGUGUGUUACAAGUAAAUACAAUAAGAUAUUCAAGAAUUUAGAAAGUACAUCACUCACAAGGCUUCUGUGAUAGUUACUGAAGAUCUUCUCCAGUCAAAUGAAAAUUAAAUAAGAGAAAGUAUUCCAAGACAGAAGAUACUGUGUGUGACAAAUAGUGAAUGAAGGUCACUGAAUAUAUUCAAAAUUUUGGUUAAUCCUAAGUAGAUGAUAAUAUUGUGAUUUUGAGCUGAAAUAUUUGUAAAAAUAAAUACAACUUUAGAAAACUUGAUCAAUAGACAAUAUUUUCCAAAGAAAGAAAAAAAGGUAAACAAUAAAUUCAUACCACAUUUUAAAUGUGGGUUAAACUAUAUGUCAUCAAAGGAAUGAGACCAAAUAUAUCACUUAUGAAAAGGAAUGGAUUGAGUAAUAUGAUAUUCAAUGAUAAAGACUCAGUUUUGAAUAAGUAAGCAUAAACUCAGUAAAAUUCACUAAGGAGAACUACAUAUCUAAAGUGAAAUGGCACAAGUGAUUUAAAAUUAAGUGAUAAAUAUGUGGUAACUUAUGUUAAAAUAGAUAUGAUAGCAUUUAAAGACAACUUAAGCAGUAAAAGGAUGAAUCAUUUGAAUGAUACACAGCACAACCCACCAAGAUGAUGAGCAGGUCAAGAAAUGCAUAAAACAAAACACUUUGGAAACACAGAGAAAAAUUGUUAAAUCAGCAAACACUAUCCUUAGAAAUGGGGUGUUAAAAACAUUUUCUUGAGAUUAACAAUCCAAUGGCAGGUUAGGAAGAGAGAUAACAAAACUUUUAAUUUAAAAAAAAAAAAACCCAAUAAGCCCAAAGUAACAUGGAUGUGUGCAUAUCAUGUUUGAGUGACCCCACACAGAGUUUAAAUCUACAGCUGGGUCUCGAUGUCAUUGUGUCAUGCCCUUGAAAUAUACAAAGAAGUUAGUCACAAACAAAACUUUAAUAAAUUAAAAAUAUAGAGAUGUUAAUUAAAUGGAUACUUCUAAUCCGUUAAUUAAAUGGAUUAAAAUGCAAUAAAACAAGAAAAAGCAUUUCAAGAAUCUUUUUGAGAAUUCUUCACAGUAUAAAGGAGGAAGAGUGAACAUAGUUUGCAUCAUUUUACAUAAUUUGAUACUUAUGUUAGCCUUCCUGUUUGAAAAUUAUGUACUGAAACUUAAAAUUUAUGAUUAACAACUUUUUUUCUCUUUUUCCCUGAAGAUGCCUAAGCUGUCGUUCACUUAUUUAACACUAAAGUUCUUUUAACACAAUCAAGAGUCUUCAUUAGUAAUCAUCAGCAAACAUUAUAUGACUAAGAUCUGAAGUACCCUUCAAUAAAACUAAGACAAUGACACCCAUGAUAGAUACUAAUGUUCCAUAUUAAUUCGAAGACUUUAAGUCAUUGAUGUUAAGAAAAAAUUGAUAUAAAUAUAGAUGAAGAAGAGAUUAAUUUAUCAUUAGUCAUAGACAAUGUGCUAGGAAUCCAUAAAGUCUGGAAAAAGUCACUGCAAAGGCUGUGGGGUCCUCACUAGGCAAGGUGAGCAGGGCAGGUGGCAUUGGUGGCUGGAGCCAAUGGUGUGUACAUGCUUGAUGACAGGGACUGGCUGCAGGUACACACGUGGUGGCAGGGGUAUAUGUGGUGGUAUAUGCUGGGGCCAAAUGUGAACAGUUGUAGGUGCCUGUGCUGUUUGCAAGGUGUGCACUUGUGUGGCUGCAGGUUCAAGCACAACAGUGCAGGCAGUGACAGGAGUCACAGAUGCCUGUGUUCCAGGGGCACCACACAAUGACAUGUAGACACAGCUGUAGGUUUAAACUGUGGGAUCAGUCGAACAUGAUAUGCACACACGUCUCUGUUACAUUGGGUUUGUUGGGGCUUUCCAAAUAAAAUGUUUGUCAUUCUUCCUCUCCCCAGACUGCCGCUGGAUUGUUAAUUCUCAGGAAUAGUUCUUAAAACCCCAUUUCUAAGGAAAGUGUUUGUUGAGUUAAUAAUUUCUAAGCAAAAUAUUAAAGAAAUAGCCUGGUCUGCAGACCACAGCAGACCCUCCAAUAGCUCUCUCUGCCAAGGAUCAUGUAUUUGUGAUAUCAUGACCCCAACUGCCUGAGCCAAGGAGACAACAUUCCCCUCAGACUGGGGGUUGCCACACACACCUGUCCUUGGCAUCCCACACCCCUGAACCCAGCUUCACAGCAUACUCCAGGGUACCCCCACCUGCAGAUGAAGUCUUUCCUUGCUGAAGUCAGUCCACAAAGUCUGGAAGGAGUGACUGCUUCUUCGAAAGUAGAAACACCUACAUAAGGGCUGCAGGGAUCACAGGGUCUGGGAGACGUACAAAGGAACACAAUAAACAUUAAGUAACUGACACCAAAGAAAUGGAGAUCUGUGGACUCUCCAAAUAUUUAAAUUCUGCUACUUUGUGACUAAUUAUUCCAUCUUUAAGUCCUUUCUUCUCAAAUUUUACCACAAACAGUCAUGACAGUAUUUUGCUCAGAACCUUCCUCAAAGUUCCACCACACACAAAACACUAGUCACAAAUACAAGUCUUUGCCACUUUAUAACAAGGAUUACCUUUCCUCCAGUUUCCAGUAACAUGUUCCCUAUUUCCAUCUGAGACGUCAACGUUCAGUUCCCAACUACUUAGCUGUUUUCUAAGAAGAUGGAGGUUGUCUCUUUUGUUCUCCCCUUCUCCUCUUGAGCUCUCACCAAUAUCGCCUAUGAAUCCAUUACAGCAACAUAGGCUUUUUCGAACAUGCACUCAAAACUCUUCCAGACUCUACUUAUUACACACUUCCAAAGCCACCUCCACAUUUUUAGGUAUUUUCAUUCUACUUCUCAGUACCAAUUUCUGACUCAGUCUGCUCAGGCUGCUAUAACAAGAUACUAUAGAGUAUGUGGUUGAAGCAACAAACAUUUAUUUCUCUGGAGGUUGGGGAUCCAAGAUCAAGGUGCCACCAGAUUCACUGACCAGUGCGGUCUGCUUCCUGGUUCAUAGAAGACCAUCUUCUCAUUGUUCUCAUGGGGCAGGAGGGGCGAGGAAGCUCUCUAGGGAUGUCUUUUUUAGGGGCACUAAUCUCAUCCAUGAAGGUUCCAUUGUCAUGACCCAGUCAUUUCCCAAAACCCCACCUCCAAAUAUCUUCACAUGAGGGGUUAGGUUUUAAGAUGUAAAUUUUAAGAGGGCAUUUAGUCUAUGACACAUUAGAUUUCAAACACCAGGAGAACAAAACCAAUAGAACAUGUUAGAAUUAUUUUGUUCUUGAAAGAUUCAAAUUCAUUUUCGGUUUGUAAAGGCCCGCUCGUUUUUUCCCCAUGCCAUUAGUUUUUUAUAAUGAACAUACACCUCAAAAAGGUAUUUUUUGGAGGGAGAAGAGUUUUCAAUAUAUUUUAUGUCGGAGGACCUGGGUGGCUCAAUCGGUUAAUUAACCAGCUCUUGAUUUCUUCUCAGGUGAUGAUCUCAGGGCCAUGAGAUUGAGUCCCACAUCUGGCUCUGCACUGGGUAUGGAGCCUACUAAGAUUCUCUCUCCCCCUCUCCCUUUGUCCCUCCUUGCUCACUCUCUCUAAAAAA